CAUCGAUGAAGAACGUAGCGAAAUGCGAUACUUGGUGUGAAUUGCAGAAUCCCGUGAACCAUCGAGUUUUUGAACGCAAGUUGCGCCCGAGGCCAUUUGGCCGAGGGCACGCCUGCCUGGGCGUCAUGCCU
rnacentral:rRNA from 1 species